rnacentral:lncRNA from 1 species
GGCCGGCCGGCUCUCUACCCGAUCCUCCAGGGCCGGAGCUUUGGGAGGGACUUUUUCUUUUGGACAAGUUUGGGGGUGGGGAAAGAAUCAAGAUGCUCCUGGCCUUCCCUGGGCUCCCCGCAUGGUCCGCACCCCCUCCACCCCUGUGCUGGCCUAUGGGGCGUCCUGAGGCUUAUUUCUAGAGAAGCAUUGGGCUCUGGGCCCCAGGAGAGCGGCCACACUGGCGCCAGGGAGAUCCCGUUCCCAGGGCCUCCUGGACCGCUCUCUGGACCAAGGUGGACAGAAAAGAGCUCUCUGUGGCCACGCCUGGCCAGGAAUGCUCUCCGGAUCACAACGGACAGGAGCGAUCAGGGGCAUCCGCUCGGGGCAGCAGGACAUGAUGGACAGGGUACGAGAGCGGGGUUCAAAGGCUGCCCCUGGCACCAGGCGAGAGCCUCGCAUCCCGGGCCCGCCGUAGGAGGCUCAGGAGCCUCCCACGGCCCAGGGCCGCCUCCCACGGUGGGUCCUCCUCGUGCUUGGACCCGCCGGCUCCCUGGCCUCCCCCAGCACCCCGGGAGCUCAAGAAGCGGGAGCAGCCCCCCCUUCCUCCCCCGCCCGUCUGAACCUUUGCUCUUCUCCAGGUCCGGCUCAGGCCGGCUCUGGCCACCCCCACGGAGGGCUCUCUUCUCCCCUGACCUCUUCCAGACCCUGCCUGUCUUCGUAUCCGGCGGGGGCUCAGAGACUGGCCGGGCCCCCAGCCAGCACCCCCGCCUCCAGGCUGGCCCCAUCCCGGCAUCUGUGAGAGCUCCAGACGCGGAGAAGCCGCUGGACUUGGAGCCGGAGGCCCCGGGCCCUGAAUCCACGUUCUGGGGGGCCUCCCCGCCCCGAGCAGCCCACCCGCUGGGGCUCCCGUCCGAGUUGUGCUCGGGACUGACGGCUGCCACAGGUCCCCGCCGCUGGCCAUGGAAACUCGGGGGACUGCGGCCCCGAGGGAGCCCCAGGACCGGGAGGGGGACCAGAAGGACGCCCUCUGCCGCCCCGGGAGCACGAGCUCCAGAGGGCGGCUGGGCGCCGGGGAUCCUGCCGGCCUCCUCCAGGGGUCCUCUGACGGGCGAGGGCCCCCCAGGACGGCCCAGG